rnacentral:rRNA from 1 species
GGGUUGUGAGGUUAAGCGACUAAGCGUACACGGUGGAUGCCCUGGCAGUCAGAGGCGAUGAAGGACGUGCUAAUCUGCGAAAAGCGUCGGUAAGGUGAUAUGAACCGUUACAGCCGGCGAUGUCCGAAUGGGGAAACCCAGUGCAAUUCGUUGCACUAUCGUUAACUGAAUACAUAGGUUAACGAGGCGAACCGGGGGAACUGAAACAUCUAAGUACCCCGAGGAAAAGAAAUCAACCGAGAUUCCCCCAGUAGCGGCGAGCGAACGGGGAGCAGCCCGGAGUCUGAAUCAGCUUGUGUGUUAGUGGAAGCGUCUGGAAAGUCGCAGGGUACAGGGUGAUACUCCCGUACACUAAAACACACAGGUUGUGAACUCGAAGAGUAGGGCGGGACACGUGGUAUCCUGUCUGAAUAUGGGGGGACCAUCCUCCAAGGCUAAAUACUCCUGACUGACCGAUAGUGAACCAGUACCGUGAGGGAAAGGCGAAAAGAACCCCGGCGAGGGGAGUGAAAAAGAACCUGAAACCGUGUACGUACAAGCAGUAGGAGCCCACUUGUUGGGUGACUGCGUACCUUUUGUAUAAUGGGUCAGCGACUUAUAUUCUGUAGCAAGGUUAACCGUAUAGGGGAGCCGCAGGGAAACCGAGUCUUAACUGGGCGUUAAGUUGCAGGGUAUAGACCCGAAACCCGGUGAUCUAGCCAUGGGCAGGUUGAAGGUUGGGUAACACUAACUGGAGGACCGAACCGACUAAUGUUGAAAAAUUAGCGGAUGACUUGUGGCUGGGGGUGAAAGGCCAAUCAAACCGGGAGAUAGCUGGUUCUCCCCGAAAGCUAUUUAGGUAGCGCCUCGUGAACUCAUCUUCGGGGGUAGAGCACUGUUUCGGCUAGGGGGUCAUCCCGACUUACCAACCCGAUGCAAACUACGAAUACCGAAGAAUGUUAUCACGGGAGACACACGGCGGGUGCUAACGUCCGUCGUGAAGAGGGAAACAACCCAGACCGCCAGCUAAGGUCCCAAAGUCAUGGUUAAGUGGGAAACGAUGUGGGAAGGCCCAGACAGCCAGGAUGUUGGCUUAGAAGCAGCCAUCAUUUAAAGAAAGCGUAAUAGCUCACUGGUCGAGUCGGCCUGCGCGGAAGAUGUAACGGGGCUAAACCAUGCACCGAAGCUGCGGCAGCGACACUAUGUGUUGUUGGGUAGGGGAGCGUUCUGUAAGCCGUUGAAGGUGGCCUGUGAGGGUUGCUGGAGGUAUCAGAAGUGCGAAUGCUGACAUAAGUAACGAUAAUGCGGGUGAAAAACCCGCACGCCGGAAGACCAAGGGUUCCUGUCCAACGUUAAUCGGGGCAGGGUGAGUCGACCCCUAAGGCGAGGCCGAAAGGCGUAGUCGAUGGGAAACAGGUUAAUAUUCCUGUACUCGGUGUUACUGCGAAGGGGGGACGGAGAAGGCUAUGUUGGCCGGGCGACGGUUGUCCCGGUUUAAGCAUGUAGGCGGAUGUUCCAGGUAAAUCCGGAACGUUAUUAACGCUGAGGUGUGAUGACGAGGCACUACGGUGCUGAAGUGACAAAUGCCCUGCUUCCAGGAAAAGCCUCUAAGCAUCAGGUAACAUCAAAUCGUACCCCAAACCGACACAGGUGGUCAGGUAGAGAAUACCAAGGCGCUUGAGAGAACUCGGGUGAAGGAACUAGGCAAAAUGGUGCCGUAACUUCGGGAGAAGGCACGCUGAUGGUAAGUGAAGCGACUUGCUCGUGGAGCUGAAAUCAGUCGAAGAUACCAGCUGGCUGCAACUGUUUAUUAAAAACACAGCACUGUGCAAACACGAAAGUGGACGUAUACGGUGUGACGCCUGCCCGGUGCCGGAAGGUUAAUUGAUGGGGUUAUCCUCGCGGAGAAGCUCUUGAUCGAAGCCCCGGUAAACGGCGGCCGUAACUAUAACGGUCCUAAGGUAGCGAAAUUCCUUGUCGGGUAAGUUCCGACCUGCACGAAUGGCGUAAUGAUGGCCAGGCUGUCUCCACCCGAGACUCAGUGAAAUUGAACUCGCUGUGAAGAUGCAGUGUACCCGCGGCAAGACGGAAAGACCCCGUGAACCUUUACUAUAGCUUGACACUGAACACUGGUCCUUGAUGUGUAGGAUAGGUGGGAGGCUUUGAAGUGUGGACGCCAGUCUGCAUGGAGCCAUCCUUGAAAUACCACCCUUUAAUGGCUGGUGUUCUAACGUGGGCCCGUAAUCCGGGUUGCGGACAGUGUCUGGUGGGUAGUUUGACUGGGGCGGUCUCCUCCUAAAGAGUAACGGAGGAGCACGAAGGUCAGCUAAUCCUGGUCGGACAUCAGGAGGUUAGUGCAAUGGCAUAAGCUGGCUUGACUGCGAGCGUGACGGCGCGAGCAGGUGCGAAAGCAGGUCAUAGUGAUCCGGUGGUUCUGAAUGGAAGGGCCAUCGCUCAACGGAUAAAAGGUACUCCGGGGAUAACAGGCUGAUACCGCCCAAGAGUUCAUAUCGACGGCGGUGUUUGGCACCUCGAUGUCGGCUCAUCACAUCCUGGGGCUGAAGUAGGUCCCAAGGGUAUGGCUGUUCGCCAUUUAAAGUGGUACGCGAGCUGGGUUUAGAACGUCGUGAGACAGUUCGGUCCCUAUCUGCCGUGGGCGCUGGAGAAUUGAGGGGGGCUGCUCCUAGUACGAGAGGACCGGAGUGGACGCAUCACUGGUGUUCGGGUUGUCAUGCCAAUGGCAUUGCCCGGUAGCUAAAUGCGGAAGAGAUAAGUGCUGAAAGCAUCUAAGCACGAAACUUGCCCCGAGAUGAGUUCUCCCUGACCCUUUAAGGGUCCUGAAGGAACGUUGAAGACGACGACGUUGAUAGGCCGGGUGUGUAAGCGCAGCGAUGCGUUGAGCUAACCGGUACUAAUGAACCGUGAGGCUUAACCUUACAACGCCGAAG